rnacentral:rRNA from 1 species
UACGUAGGGUGCAAGCGUUGUCCGGAAUCACUGGGCGUAAAGGGCGCGUAGGCGGCUUUGUAAGUCGGGGGUGAAAGCCUGUGGCUCAACCACAGAAUUGCCUUCGAUACUGCAUGGCUUGAGACCGGAAGAGGUUAGUGGAACUGCGAGUGUAGAGGUGAAAUUCGUAGAUAUUCGCAAGAACACCAGUGGCGAAGGCGGCUGACUGGUCCGGUUCUGACGCUGAGGCGCGAAAGCGUGGGGAGCAAACAGG